rnacentral:rRNA from 1 species
CCUACGGGAGGCUGCAGUGGGGAAUAUUGGACAAUGGGGGCAACCCUGAUCCAGCCAUGCCGCGUGUGUGAAGAAGUCCCUCGGGUUGUAAAGCACUUUCAGUGAGGAAGAACGCCUGGUGGUUAAUACCCAUCAGGAAAGACAUCACUCACAGAAGAAGCACCGGCUAACUCCGUGCCAGCAGCCGCGGUAAUACGGAGGGUGCGAGCGUUAAUCGGAAUUACUGGGCGUAAAGCGCGCGUAGGUGGCUUGAUAAGCCGGUUGUGAAAGCCCCGGGCUCAACCUGGGAACGGCAUCCGGAACUGUCAAGCUAGAGUGCAGGAGAGGAAGGUAGAAUUCCCGGUGUAGCGGUGAAAUGCGUAGAGAUCGGGAGGAAUACCAGUGGCGAAGGCGGCCUUCUGGACUGACACUGACACUGAGGUGCGAAAGCGUGGGUAGCAAACAGGAUUAGAUACCCGUGUAGUC